rnacentral:rRNA from 1 species
GAUGAACGCUGGCGGCGUGCCUAACACAUGCAAGUCGAGCGAACGGAUGAGGAGUUUGCUUUUCUGAUGUUAGCGGCGGACGGGUGAGUAACACGUGGAUAACCUACCUAUCAGACUGGGAUAAUUUCGGGAAACCGGAUCUAAUACCGGAUAAUAUUUUGAACCUCAUUGUUCAAAAGUGAAAUACGGUAUUUCUGUCGCUUAUAGAUGGAUCCGCGCUGCAUUAGCUAGUUGGUAAGGUAACGGCUUACCAAGGCAACGAUGCAUAGCCGACCUGAGAGGGUGAUCGGCGACACUGGAACUGAGACACGGUACAGACUCCUACAGUAGGAAGCAGUAGGGAAUCUUACGCAAUGGACGAAAGCCUGACAGAGCAACGCCGCGUGAGGGAUGAUGGUCUUAGGAUCGUUAAACGAUGUUAUUAGUAGAGAACAAAAGUGUAAGUAACUGUGCAGAUAUUGACGGUACCUAGUCAGAAAGCCACGGCUAACUACGUG